UCCCUGGUGGACUAGUGGCUAGCAUGUGGCGCUCUCAACGCCAUAGUCUGGGUUUGAUUCAUGGUCAGUAAG